GGGAUUAACGCUGGCGGCAUGCCUAAUACAUGCAAGUCGAACGAGGUCACUUGUGACCUAGUGGCGAACGGGUGAGUAACACGUAGGGAACCUGCCUCAAAGUCGAGGAUAACUAUUGGAAACGAUAGCUGAGACUGGAUAGUAUACCAGAAGGCAUCUUUUGGUAUUUAAAGGUCCGUUUGGAACGCUUUGAGAUGGCCCUGCGGCGCAUUAGCUAGUUGCGGGGUAACGGCCCACCAUGGCGACGAUCAGUAGCCGGUCUGAGAGGAUGGACGGCCACAUUGGGACUGAGAUACGGCCCAGACUCCUACGGGAGGCAGCAGUGGGGAAUAUUGGGCAAUGGGCGAAAGCCUGACCCAGCGACGCCGCGUGAGGGAAGAAGGUCUUCGGAUUGUAAACCUUUGUUGACAGGGACGAAACAAAUGACGGUACCUGUCGAGGAAGCCACGGCUAACUACGUG
rnacentral:rRNA from 1 species